GCUAACGUCGCUGCUGCAGCCCGCCCCUGAGGUAUUCUUCACCUUCCACAACCUGAUCCUGAUGAGCGAGGGCAAGAUCUUCUACCACGGGCCCACCACCA
rnacentral:SRP_RNA from 1 species